rnacentral:rRNA from 1 species
AAGAGGGAUUGGAAGCCUCCAGAAUGUAUGUUCUGUUCUGAACAUGAAUCAGUUAAUCACCUGUUCUUUCACUGUGUGGUUGCGAAGAAUGUCUAGAGUGACAUUUCCUCUUUUUUCUCUACUGAGCUAGGAACAAAUUAUAUCUCUAUUGCCAGGUUUUGGCCAGCUAACAAUAAACAUAAGGAUAUGAAUGCAGUUUGUGCAUGUGUUCUGUAGUGCCUGUGGAAAACUAGAAAUGGCCAUGUUUUUAACAAUGCUAUCUGGUCUGACAUGAAAUAGAUCUGGUGGCUGGUCUGGAGGACUCUCAAAAGGUGGAUGAUACUGGACAAAGGGGAUUCACUGGAAAGAAUGCAGAGGAUCUCUCUCUCUCUGGAUAUCCUGCAUUCUAAGGGCCCCUUUUCAGUUGGCAGUGGGGUGAUGGGGGGCGCGGUGGAUACUGAAGGUGUCUCCCAGGUCUCCCUUCUCACUGAACUGUCACUGGGGAAAGGGUCAGAUUCCCAGACCCCUUGGCGUUAUGAUGAUUCACUGUGUUUGGAGGUCCAUCGCUCAAGAAGAUGCCUCUAG